rnacentral:rRNA from 1 species
AGCAGCCGCGGUAAUUCCAGCUCCAAUAGCGUAUAUUAAAGUUGUUGCAGUUAAAAAGCUCGUAGUUGAAUUUCGGGGUUAGUAGGUUGGUCAUGCCUCUGGUAUGUACUGGUCUCACUGAUUCCUCCUUCCUGAUGAGCCGUAAUGCCAUUAAUUUGGUGUUGCGGGGAAUUUGGACUGUUACUUUGAAAAAUUAGAGUGUUUAAAGCAGGCUUUAGCUUGAAUACAUUAGCAUGGAAUAAUGAAAUAGGACGUUUGAUCCUAUUUUGUUGGUUUCUAGGAUUGACGUAAUGAUUAAUAGGGAUAGUUGGGGCAUUAGUAUUCAAUUGUCAGAGGUGAAAUUCUUGGAUUUAUUGAAGACUAACUACUGCGAAAGCAUUUGCCAAGGAUGUUUCAUUAAUACAAGAACGAAAGUUAGGGGAUCGAAGACGAUCAGAUACCGUCGUAGU